AGAGUUUGAUCAUGGCUCAGGAUGAACGCUGGCGGCGUGCCUAAUACAUGCAAGUCGAGCGAACGGACGAGAAGCUUGCUUCUCUGAUGUUAGCGGCGGACGGGUGAGUAACACGUGGAUAACCUACCUAUAAGACUGGGAUAACUUCGGGAAACCGGAGCUAAUACCAGAUAAUAUUUUGAACCGCAUGGUUCAAAAGUGAAAGACGGUCUUGCUGUCACUUAUAGAUGGAUCCGCGCUGCAUUAGCUAGUUGGUAAGGUAACGGCUUACCAAGGCAACGAUGCAUAGCCGACCUGAGAGGGUGAUCGGCCACACUGGAACUGAGACACGGUCCAGACUCCUACGGGAGGCAGCAGUAGGGAAUCUUCCGCAAUGGGCGAAAGCCUGACGGAGCAACGCCGCGUGAGUGAUGAAAGUCUCCGGAUCGUAAAACUCUGUUAUUAGGGAAGAACAUAUGUGUAAGUAACUGUGCACAUCUUGACGGUACCUAAUCAGAAAGCCACGGCUAACUACGUGCCAGCAGCCGCGGUAAUACGUAGGUGGCAAGCGUUAUCCGGAAUUAUUGGGCGUAAAGCGCGCGUAGGCGGUUUUUUAAGUCUGAUGUGAAAGCCCACGGCUCAACCGUGGAGGGUCAUUGGAAACUGGAAAACUUGAGUGCAGAAGAGGAAAGUGGAAUUCCAUGUGUAGCGGUGAAAUGCGCAGAGAUAUGGAGGAACACCAGUGGCGAAGGCGACUUUCUGGUCUGUAACUGACGCUGAUGUGCGAAAGCGUGGGGAUCAAACAGGAUUAGAUACCCUGGUAGUCC
rnacentral:rRNA from 1 species